rnacentral:miRNA from 1 species
GAGAGAGAGAGAGAGAGAGAGAGAGAGAGAGAGAGAGAGAGAUGGAUUUCCAAGUAGAUUUGAUCAAACAAUUCUUUUCUUUCUUUUUUGGUUCUGGGGAUUGAAUCCAGGGCCUCAUGCAUGCAAAGUACACACUUUACCACUGAGCCACACCCCCAUUCUCUCUCUCUCUCUCUUUUUUUUUUUUAAUUU